GGCGGGAUAGCUCAGUCUGGUUAGAGCAGUCGGCUCAUACCCGGCGCGUCGACAGUUCGAAUCUGUCUCCCGCUA
rnacentral:tRNA from 1 species